rnacentral:lncRNA from 1 species
UGAGUAUAGAAUGUCAGUUUGGAGUGCUAUAAGCACUACCCUAUGUACCUCCCCUGAUUUGGAACUUGGAUACGGAGACUUGAGAUACUUGGAAUUGUCGGUACUCGGGGCAUCCUUGACGGGAUGUUGCUGUAGACCCUUAAUUGGGUAGUCUGCGUGCGUAGGACUGAUCACAGACGUACGGGUUUUAAGGUUAUCGACGGUACGUUCUGGCUGAGAGUUGGUCCCCCAGUUGGACGGCUCGUUCCCUAGUCACAUGGUGGAUUGAGGACUCAUCACGAGGACUCUGCCAGGGUGACUAGUCAAACAAUCCCCCAGUUGGAUUGUUUCCCCGGUACAACUAGGUGAUGAUUAUAAUUAUACUAUAUAGAUAUCUC